CACUAUCCUUCUCUGUUGUCCA
rnacentral:siRNA from 1 species